CCUCAGGUAAGCUAAAAUAGAAGCUGUUGGGCCCAUAACCCAAAAAUGGUUUGAACCCCUUAGGA
rnacentral:tRNA from 1 species